rnacentral:rRNA from 1 species
UACAGAGGUCCCAAGCGUUGUUCGGAUUCACUGGGCGUAAAGGGUGCGUAGGCGGCUAUCCAAGUCAGUGGUGAAAGCCCGGAGCUCAACUCCGGAACUGCCAUUGAAACUGUUUAGCUUGAGGACGAGAGAGGUGAGUGGAAUUCCCAGUGUAGAGGUGAAAUUCGUAGAUAUUGGGAAGAACACCGGUGGCGAAGGCGGCUCACUGGCUCGUAUCUGACGCUCAGGCGCGACAGCGUGGGGAUCGAACAGG